UACGAAGGGGGCUAGCGUUGUUCGGAAUCACUGGGCGUAAAGCGCACGUAGGCGGAUCUUUAAGUCAGGGGUGAAAUCCCGAGGCUCAACCUCGGAACUGCCUUUGAUACUGGGGAUCUCGAGUCCGGGAGAGGUGAGUGGAACUGCGAGUGUAGAGGUGAAAUUCGUAGAUAUUCGCAAGAACACCAGUGGCGAAGGCGGCUCACUGGCCCGGAACUGACGCUGAGGUGCGAAAAGCGUGGGGAGCAAACAGG
rnacentral:rRNA from 1 species